GUUGUGUGUUUGGUAUUCAAAUAGAUCCCCUUUUGAUGAGUAAGCAAUAGCCCCACCCCUUUAAGAGAAGGGCUAAACUCAUAUGUGCAUAUUCUUAGUUGAGCAGGUUGCAAAGCAGCAAGUUGAUCUCUAACUUGCUCCCACUAAUAGCUGGAAUACUACAGACAGAUUGUAAACACACAACUUUCACAGCAGGGGUGUGCUAUUGCUGCUUUUACUCUGCCAUAGGAGUUGGCACAAGAUAAACAGUUUCUUCUGCAGGUAUCAACUGCGAUCAAGAUGGGCAAUGAGCAUUCUAAAAACAAGGCUGAGCAGGCUCCAGAAAAGCCCCUGCAUGGAGGAUUGAAUGGCCAUGCUGUAAGCAUCUCAUCCAAUGGCCUGGAGAAUGUUAUCAGUGAAGCAGCUGUGGAGCAGAACAGUAUGCCUCCCUCACUGCCUCCCUCUGAAGAGUCAGGUAUAGUGGAGGCAGAUGGCAGUGGUCUUGGGCCUGUGGUGGUGGAACAGAAGUCUGCCAUCAAGGAGGUUCCAGAAGUGGAACCAGAGACACAGAAUGCUAAGACUCAAAACACACCGGAACCAGAACUGGAACCAGCCACCCAAGAGAAGGAGGAGCCCAAGAACAGUACGAAAGAAAAAGUGAACAUCUUUGAAAAUCUGUUCAAGAAGAAAGCUAAGCCUCAACCCACCCCCAACCCGGAUCCAGCCCUGGAAAAGGAGGAAACCAUAAAGGACAAGAUUGUGGAGGAGAUUGAAAGUUCUGCAGAAGAUCAGAAAGUCCCUGUGGCUGUGACCGAUGGGAUCCAAGCUGAGCCACUUGCUGAGGUAAAGGAGGAUACAGAGACUUCAAAGGAGCGUCCCAACCCUAGUCCAGAGGCAGAGGAGGUCAAAAGCCCCAAAAUUGCAGAGGAAAGCAGUCACAUUCAGGAAAACCAAGAGGGAGAGAGUCAAACAGAAGAGAAUCCAGUUAUGAACUUCUUCAAAACACUAGUGACUCCCACAAAAAAAAACAAGCAAGAAACAGCCACCCCUGCUGUUGCAAAAGACCAGAAAGAGGCCCAACCAACAACAACAACUACUGCUGCACAACUAGUGGAUGCUCCAGCAACAGCCAAAGGAGGAAUGUCAAUCCCACCAGCCCCAGCCCCAGCCCCAUCCCCAGCCCCAGCCCCAGCCCCAGCCCCAGCCCCAGCCCCAGCCCCAUCCCCAGCCCCAGCCCCAGCCCCAGCCCCAGCCCCAGCCCUAGGCUCAUGUAAGAUGGAGGUUAAAGCAGAACUAGCUGCCCAAUCUGUGACCAACACACCAAACGAAGAACCAAAGGGUGCUGCCAAAGAACCAGAGGCCGCCAAGCCGAAAUCUGACCGCCCGUUCAGCAGACUUUUCAGCAGAAAGACAGUGGAACCAGUGGAGCCACAACCGGUUGUGGAAGUACAGAAUGUAGACUUCUCAAAGACGGCCACUCUGGAGGCCUCUGCCACACUAGAACCACCACCACCAGAGGAAGAGAAGACACCUGCUGCCUCCAAAGCCUCUCCUUUCACUUCCUUUUCUCUUUUCAAGACAAAGGCAGCUGUGCCAAAAAAGGAAGUCCCUGCCCUAGCUGCAGAAGCGGUAGUUGAACCAAGUGUAGCCAAGGACGAACCAAAGGCCCCAGAGGACCCUGCUGUGGACAGCAAGCCCGUGUCAGAGCCCUCCGAGGUUAUGGAGAAUUCCCCCGUCCUCCCUAAGAGACUGGAGAAGAGGAACUCCAUCCACUUGUUCUUCAAAAACCUGGGCAAACGCCAGUCAGAUGCAGGAGUACAAACAGAACCAGAGAAGACCAAAUAAAACAGAAACACCCUUUCAAACAUCACAUGCCAUAUCUGGAAAUGAACUUUUGAUUUGUUAGAUACAUUAUGUUUCUGAUCACACUAUUGAUGUGGUAAGAGCAAGUGGUUUGAGGGAGAGAGGUGGACUGUGGACUAGUCUGUUCUAGUCUAAUCUUUGUGGACAAUUUCAGAGAAUUGUUCUUUGUGGAGGAGGUAAAUAUAUUUUCUGGUUUUAAAGGCUUGAUAGGUAGAGAAAAGUGGUUUUGUAACAUAUACUGAGAGCAAAAUCAAUUUUCUAUACAGUAUGUACCCUUCUUUUAACAUACAUGUCAAACUCAUUCCACGGAGGGCUGAGUGUCUGCUGGUUUUUGUUCCUCCCUUGAUUGAUUAAUUAAGGUCACUAAUUAGUAAAGAACUCCCCUCACCUGGUUGUCUAAGGUCUUAAAAACGAAACACUCGCAGACACUAAGCCCUUCAUGGAAUGAGUUUGACAUCCCUGCUUUAACAUAUUAAUGUGUAAGGAUCUAAUGCAAAUAUUACGUUUAGCAUAUUUUUUUCCCUCUAUACGCAAUUUACUAGUCUGAAAAUAACUUGUGGAGUGCAUACAAUGGUUUCAGAUACAUUCAUAGGACGUCUUGGAGAAGAGAUGCAUAAAGCUUAGCUUGGAAUAGAGAGAUAGUAAUGGAAUAUACUCCAAAUGUAAUGGAGGAGUUGGUGAAAUGGUGGAUAUUCCUGCCAAGAUGUUUUUAUUUAGGCUAGACACAUGCAACUUACAAUGUAGGCUUUAAACUUUGCAGGAACUGUACACGGAUGCAAAUAUAUGCCAAACACUAAAUUACAAUAUAUGAUUAUAAUCAUACACAGGGGGACCUCACAAUCAUUACUUUUUUUGGGAACUACACAGAUCAUCUGGUAGUCUAUAUAGCUAACUGCACAGUCAUGAAUCAUAUUUGAUUAACGUUUCACUGAAGUAUAAAGGUUUGUUCUAAUUUGAGUGCACUGCUUUACAUGUGUGUGCCUGUUUGAAUGCAGAUGUUAUAAUCUUGGGUAUCUUGUCUGUUAAUUUCUGCACCUAUAAUUUGAUAAACUGGAUCUGGAAGUAGAAUAUUUAUUGUGACAGCAAUUUCCGAAUCAUGACAACCUGCAAUGGGGUAUAUGGGGGGGUUCUACUGAGCUAACAUGGAUUUUUUUUUAAAGAUCAUACCAUGGAUCCUUUAGCUAUUUAAUUUUUCAUUGGGGUAAAAUAUUGAAUUUGGCCUUUUAAUGCUACAACCUAUAGAAAUGCAUUGAAUAACACACUCAUAAAUGGCAAAACAGAGUACAAAAAUAAAUAAUAAGGAAUAUGUUUUUGAAUUGUCUGUCCUACAUCUAGGAGAUGUAAUAAAGUUCAGGAUUUACACAUUUAACCCAUUUUUUGGGGUGUCACAAAACUACUUCUAUAUUUGUUUUUAUGUUAAUUAGAUUGACGCACGGGUGCGUUGAUCAACUUUAGGGGUAUUUAAAGCUAUUUUUUUCUGUAACUGUUAAGAGAAUAAAUGUAUACAAUUAUAUGUUUUCUUGUUUUCUAUCUCACAAUUUAGGCCAAAAGCUAUCAGUAUAGGGAAAUAUGAAAACAUAUUUAGACUGGAAUUAAAUGUCCCUGUAAUAUAUUGAUUUAAUGUUAUCAAGCAGGACUAUCAAGUGCUGCAAUACCUGAAAAAGACAUGACCCAACAAGUUUAUCAACACAUCUUGUAUUCCCGAAGUAGGGAGCCAAGCUGUCUCAGC
ensembl:lncRNA